AUGGCCACUUGCCUCUCAGACAUGAUUAGUGACCAUUCCCUUGAUUUCUUAGGUCUGCAAGAAACUAUGAAGAAAAAGUUCACACCUAAAUGUUUGAGGAGAAUUGACCCCUUUGACAUAUUCCAAUGGAACUGGGUGCCUUCUAUUGGCAAAUCUGGGGGCAUUUUGUGUGGUGUGAGGAGAGACACUCUGGAUAUAAUAUCCUGUGCUAUAGGCAAAUAUGUAUUACAAAUAAUACUGUAUGACAAAAAGAAGAAAAUAAAGUGGGGUUUGCUGGUAGUUUAUGGAUCGGCACAUGAUGAGUUCAAAAAUGACUUCCUGAUUGAGCUGGCAUCCUUUUGUAGUGGCAUGACCGUGCCCUACAUAGUGGGGGAGACUUUAAUAUCCUGA
rnacentral:rRNA from 1 species